CAGAGACCUCUGUUCACUUGUUUAUCUGCUGACCUUCCCUCCACUAUUGUCCUGUGACCCUGCCAAAUCCCCCUCUGCGAGAAACACCCAAGAAUGAUCAAUAAAAAAAAAAAAGAAAAAAAAAACAUGAUUAUAGCUCCUUGCUGCCUUGAACUCCUGAGCUCAAGCAAUCCGCUUCUCCCAGCUCAUCCUCUUUUAACAGGUGUUGGUAUCUCGGAGUGACGGUCUCCUUUGCCCUGCCCUGUGCUUGCCACACCAGAGCCACCAUAAUUUUUUGCUAACUUUCUGGAAGUGAUGACAUUUGGCAUGGAGUCAAAUGCCCCCUGUGGCUUGGCAUUCACUGAAUCACAUGACCUAAGCAGCUGCAGGCUGUG
rnacentral:lncRNA from 10 species